rnacentral:rRNA from 1 species
AGAGUUUGAUCCUGGCUCAGGAUGAACGCUAGCUACAGGCUUAACACAUGCAAGUCGAGGGGCAGCAUGACGAUAGCUUGCUAUUGUUGAUGGCGACCGGCGCACGGGUGAGUAACGCGUAUCCAACCUUCCCGUUGCUAGGGGAUAACCUUGCGAAAGUAAGACUAAUACCCUAUGAUGUUCUUCGCAGGCAUCUAAAGAGAACGAAAGAUUUAUCGGCAACGGAUGGGGAUGCGUCUGAUUAGGUUGUUGGCGGGGUAACGGCCCACCAAGCCUACGAUCAGUAGGGGUUCUGAGAGGAAGGUCCCCCACAUUGGAACUGAGACACGGUCCAAACUCCUACGGGAGGCAGCAGUGAGGAAUAUUGGUCAAUGGACGGAAGUCUGAACCAGCCAAGUAGCGUGCAGGAUGACGGCCCUAUGGGUUGUAAACUGCUUUUAUGUGGGAAUAAAGUGAGGGACGUGUCCCUUUUUGUGGGUACCACAUGAAUAAGGACCGGCUAAUUCCGUGCCAGCAGCCGCGGUAAUACGGAAGGUCCGGGCGUUAUCCGGAUUUAUUGGGUUUAAAGGGAGCGUAGGCCGUCUUUUAAGCGUGUUGUGAAAUACUGUCGCUCAACGACAGAGGUGCAGCGCGAACUGGGAGACUUGAGUGCGCGGAAUGCAGGCGGAAUUCGUCGUGUAGCGGUGAAAUGCUUAGAUAUGACGAAGAACUCCGAUUGCGAAGGCAGCUUGCAGUAGCGUAACUGACGCUGAAGCUCGAAAGUGCGGGUAUCGAACAGGAUUAGAUACCCUGGUAGUCCGCACGGUAAACGAUGGAUGCUCGCUGUGUGCCCCUGGGUACGCGGCCAAGCGAAAGCGUUAAGCAUCCCACCUGGGGAGUACGCCGGCAACGGUGAAACCCAAAGGAAUUGACGGGGGCCCGCACAAGCAGUGGAGUAUGUGGUUUAAUUCGACGCAACGCGAAGAACCUUACCAAGUCUUGACAUCCUGCGACGCACAUAGAAAUAUGUGUUUCCUUCGGGACGCAGAGACAGGUGGUGCAUGGUUGUCGUCAGCUCGUGUCGUGAGAUGUUGGGUUAAGUCCCGCAACGAGCGCAACCCUUAUGGUCAGUUACUACGCAAGAGGACUCUGGCCAGACUGCCGUUGACAAAACGGAGGAAGGUGGGGAUGACGUCAAAUCAUCAUGCCCUUUAUGACUUGGGCUACACACGUACUACAAUGGCGUUAAACAAAGAGAAGCAAGACCGCGAGGUGGGGCAAAACUCAGAAACAACGUCCCAGUUCGGACUGCAGGCUGCAACUCGCCUGCACGAAGUCGGAAUUGCUAGUAAUCGCAGAUCAGCAUGCUGCGGUGAAUACGUUCCCGGGCCUUGUACACACCGCCCGUCACACCAUGAGAGCCGGGGGGACCCGAAGUCGGUAGUCUAACCGCAAGGAGGACGCCGCCGAAGGU